GGACGAUAGCUCAGUGGUAGAACAGCUGCUUUGCAUGCAGAAAGCCUUAGGUUCAAUCCCUUGCAUAUCUA